CAAAACUCUAAUUUUACUUAUUUGAGUGUGCCAAGUCCAUUUCCGCCUCCAUUUCGUGCAGAAACGACUCCGACUCAGUUCGACACUCUCCAGACGUAUCGACCAAUCGCUAAUACUGUAGCCAAUACUAUCCAAACCUCUGGAACACUAUAAUUAAUAUUUUAUAAAAUAUAAAAUAAUUAAUAAUAUUAUAUAUAUAAUUUAACAAUAUUAAUUAUAAAAUUUAAAAAUAUCAAUUACAAAAUUCAAAAGUUUCGAAUACAUUAGGCGGAUUUGGGAGGAUCAUGGCGGGGCGAAUUCGGGACAAGUCAAAAUUUAUCUCGUUUCCUGCCCCGAAUCCAUCUCGAAUCGUAAAAUUUAUUCCGUUUCCUAUUUCGAAUUCGUUUAUUUUCUCCCAUUUAUUGCCCCGUCGGGGCGGAUCGGGUCGAAAGCUCUACCAAUCUGGAUUCGUUUGCAUCCCUACCUAGAAUUGAGUGGUCCCUGUAUGAUAAUAGUAUUAAUCCAAAUAUUAGAAAUGAUUAAAAAGAUUGAUCUACGGAUGAAAAAGUCGAAAGUACCAAAUCCUCUAUAUUUUUUAUGGUAUAGUAAAUCUUCUAUAUAUAUAUAUAUAUAUAUAUAGAGAGAGAGAGAGAGAGAGAGAGAGAGAGAGAGAGAGAGAGAGAGAGAGAGAGAGNAAAAUCAAAAAUUAUAAUAAAUAAAACUGGGAAUAAAAACAGAUACUCGUGCUUCUCUGCUCUCACCCAUAAUAAUAAUUGAGUUAAGCUCAAUCAAGUUUUUGGUCCUCAAAGUACAAGGCACGUGAUAUUUUAGCUCUUAAACUUUUAUUUAUUAUAAUUUUUGAUUUUAAUUUUAUAAAUUGUUAACAUUAGGUUCCACAAUCUUAUUUGGCUAGACAAUAUUGACGUAUCACUAACGUGGAGGUCAUAGUAUAUUUUAAUUAUUAUUACAUCAUCGAUCAUAAUAUUAUCACAUUAUUUUUAUAUUUGUAAUAUAUUAAAUUUUAGUCAGUUAAAUUGAAUUGGGGGAUUUGAGUGUAACAAUUUAGAAUUUGAGCGAAGAAUUAUGAUAAAUUAAAAAUUUAAAGAAUCACAGUAUCACGCUGAGGAUCAAACGUAUAAUUUAGGCAAAAACUAAACGAAAUGCAUUACCUGUCCAAAAUAUUUAUUUAUUCUGAGGCUUGAUGGGUGUGUAUAUAUGUGAACACUUUAUACAUCCCGUCUUAUAUUUAAUUAUUAAAAUUUAAUUUGAUAAAAAAAGAACAGUAAUAUCUAAAAAUAUAUAUAUAUAAAUAAGUUAAAACAUAAAAAACUUUCCUGUAAAUACUUAUUUUUUCAUUUUUCUUUUCUUGACUUUCAAAAAUUUAUAUUUUACUCCUUUAAAAUUUUAGAAAUAUUUCAAAAGAUUACACAUUAAUGGAGAUGGCGAAAUGAUAAAAUUUUCUUUACUUAUUAUAUAAAAAUAUUUUUUUAAUAUAUUUUUGUUACUUUUAAAGAUAUUUUUAGCAUAAAUUAUAAAAAGAUGGAUGCAAUACUAACGGAACCAUAAUAGAGGGGGAGACUAAAUACAUCAACUUGAAAUUUAAAAAAAAUAAAAUAUAAAUUUUUAAAAGCCAGAAAAAAUUUAAAAAAAUUAAGUAUUUAUACGAAAUUC
rnacentral:lncRNA from 1 species